rnacentral:rRNA from 1 species
GACUACCGGGGUAUCUAAGCCCGUUUGCUACCCUAGCUUUCGCGUCUGAGUGUCAGGAAUGGUCCAGGAGGCCGCCUUCGCCACCGGUGUUCCUCCAGAUAUCUGCGCAUUCCACCGCUACACCUGGAAUUCCACCUCCCUCUACCAUCCUCUAGUUCUGUAGUUUAGAACGGCCUCUCCCAGUUGAGCCAGGAGCUUUCACGCCCUACUUACAGUACCACCUACACGCGCUUUACGCCCAGUAAAUCCGGAUAACGUUUGCCUCCUACGUGUUACCGCGGCUGCUGGCACGUAGUUAGCCGAGACUUAUUCUGGAAGUACAUUCCUUCCUAUUCCUUCCAAAAAGUGCUUUACGACCCGAAGGCCUUCUUCGCACACGCGGUGUUGCUAGAUCAGACUUUCGUCCAUUUCUAAUAUUCCCCACUGCAGCCGCCCGUAGG